rnacentral:lncRNA from 1 species
UCAGACCGCCUCCCCCUUCAGUGUACCCUUCUACUUAUCCACCACCAAAUCAACCAACUUCUAUGCCUGAGACACUGCCAAGCAGCAUGCCCAUGCAAAUGUCUUUUCCAUCUAUUCCUCAACCUGGUUCAAGCCGUGUGGAUGCAGGGCCUUAUGGGUAUGCUGCCGGAAGUGGUGGUUCUGCUCCACAACAACCUCCUCAAGUGAAAAAUGCUUAUGGUCCACCAACAGGUGAGGGAUAUAUGCCUCCUGGACAACAAUCUGGAGGAGCAUAUAUGAUGUAUGAUAGGGAAAGCGGAAGACCGCCACACCAUCCGCCUCAACAAACGCACUUCAAUCAAAGUGGAUAUCCUCUGGCCAAUGCACCUCAUCAGGUUCCUCCUCAAGCACCAGCAGGCCCCCAUGUUUCAGCUAGGAAUCCAAGUCAUUCACAUCUAAUCG